GACGAACGCUGGCGGCGUGCCUAAUACAUGCAAGUCGAACGCAGUGGGGACGGGUGAGUAACACGUGGGUAACCUCCCAUCAGAGGGGAUAAAACUUGGAAACAGGUGCUAAACCGAUACUGAUGGAUGGACCCGCGGGGCAUUCUGUAGUUGGUGAGGGAACGGCUCACCAAGUCCACGAUGCAUAGCCGACCUGAGAGGUUGAUCGGCCACACUGGGACUUGGACCCGGCCCAGACUCCUACGGGAGGCAGCAGUAGGGAAUCUUCGGCAAUGGACGAAAGUCUGACCGAGCAACGCCGCGUGAGUGAAGAAGGUUUUCGGAUCGUAAAGCUCUGUUGUUAGAGAAGCGGUAUCUAACCAGAAAGCCACGGCUAACUACGUGCCAGCCGCCGCGGUAAUAC
rnacentral:rRNA from 1 species